CUUUCUACCUCACCGCCGCCGUUUUUUCUACUGCCUAUGGACAAUUUAUUUUUCCGUUGAUUGGAGGCCCCAGGUACCCGUCUGUCAGACUCGGAAACCAGUGAAAGGAGGCCUUGGGCCUACGGAGCGGGCAGGAAAGGAGAGACGCGGGCUCCUUUUCCAUCUUCUACAGCGAAGGUUUGAGCAACAGAGGUUAAUUCAAAGAAUGGAAAUCAUAACCAUCCCUUUCAAGUUUUCACCAUUGGCCAAUUUGGCAUAAUUUUGGAAAAAAGAUUGAAUAAAAGCAAUUGCUAACAGGAAAGGGCAGGUUCAAAUGAUGCAGAGCAAAUCCAAGGAAUCAGCAUUAAUAUGUGUACAAUUGCAUAUUGUGCCGAAGCAUUAUUUUAUGUAUGUUUCUUUGUUAGAAGGUUAGCAUACUAUGGAAUUAACAUUGUCAUUUGAUGUAUGUUCUUUCCCAUGUAAAUAUAAUUCAUACUUAUAGUAUGAUGUGAAACAAUUUAAAGGUAAGUUACAGUUUUUGUCAUCAAAGAGCAUUAGGAUUUUAAAUUCCUGGAACCCUGAAAAUAUAUUCUACAUUAUACUUUUUAAAUGUUAAUGGCAUUAUUUUGUUGGUGUUCAUGCUCCUCCCAUCCAAGCCAGUUCAGACCCAUAGCCAGCACCAGUUAUGAGCCUCUCUCAAGUUAGACUACUUCUUGGAAAAUAGAAACACAGUAGUCUAUCGCUUGAUGAUACUCUAAAAUGCCUAAAUCCCAAAUUUAUUUGGGGGUAAAAAAUGCAAACUUCUUCCAAAAGUAGUCUGUCUCAUUAGGUAAUAGGGAGAAACUUUUCCCCCAUUCUUUGGGAGGGGAUGGUAUAUGUAAUAGUCAGAAGGAAAACCUUUUUUUCCCCCCACAAUAGUUGUCUAGAAUAAAAGGGGGAAAGGAUAUUAAAAUUGAAGAGUAGCACUCCUUUACAAAAAUCCUUUCAAUAGUUUAAACUUUUUUUCAGAUGCCAAAAGGAAGAACUCUUAGCUUGCAGAAAGUUGAAUGGUAGUUUAAGAAUAGAAUUAGAAGCAGAAUAAAUUAUGUUCCUGAACCAAACCAAGAAAUUUAGAUUAAAAUAGGCUGAGCUACUGUAAAGAUUAAAAUUUAGGAAUAUGGGGAGACUGAGGCAGGUAGAAAUUAGUUUCUCUCUGCAAGGAGUAUUAUAUUUUUUAGAGGUUUAUUAAAGGUUAAAGAUUAAAGAAAAUACAGAGUUAGAAAAAACAUGUGCCUAGGCCAGAUAACCUCACAUUACAGAAGAGAUGCAUCUGCUCCAAAACGGAAGUCCAAAAGAGCCACAAAAACCUUUGCCACCAGCUUAAAUCCUUCCUCGAUCUUGGCCCACCUCAGAAUUCCCGUGAGAUUACAAAGCAUUUUGGGGAAGUGGAGCAAAGGCUUGUGGGGAUUGUAGUCCUGUAUUCGAGUCUAUUCUUUACAUUUCUCCGUUUGAUCAUUUGCAAAAAAAAUAAUUUUUUUUUCCAAAGGAUCAUGAAAACAAUCAAUUUAAAGAUUACAAUAAUUUGAGGAUAAGAGAAAAAAAAAUAAUUGCUGAACGCAUUGACAAAAAGCCAGUUAGGGGGCAGUCCCCUUUGGCAUGAAAGUAUACAUACAAAUAAAUGUUCAAUCAACCACACCCAAGUUCAAUUUUGUGCAACUUGUGGUCUGGAGGCUUCUUCAUGGUGGCUUCUCCAACAGUUCAGUUCUGGAUUCAGAGAGGUAGUAUCUUCUUUACCUAAAAUUCUUCUCAAAAGGAAUCUAAACGUUGCAAUUUAAAUAAUGAUAUUUUUUACAUUCCCCCGUUAAGAGGGUGAUUAAAAAAACAGGAUCACUUAGGGAUGCAUGGCUGAGGUAUGUGGUAUAUGAAUCAAUUGGCAAGAGAAAUUAAAAAGAUAUCAGAAAAAUCCAAAUAAAAAAGAAAAAAUUUAUGGAUGAAAAUACAGACUAUCAAAGUCUUAUGUGUAAAAAUUCCAAGUAAAAGAAAAAUAACCUAUAACAGGUCCUUGAAUCAGGGCCCAAUUAAAAUGAUCUAAGCAAUGAUGCAUUUACCCAGUCAGUAGCCAGGACUACAGAAAGGUACCACACUAUGAGAGGCAGAAAAGAAAGGGACCAGAUUAUAGAAGCCAAGUUUUCGGGGAUACUCAUCUGUGAGUAUCUUCAGAGUGAGUGUGGAUACAAGGAAAGCCUAUGUCUAGCAAUGAUAAACAUAGUAACCUUGAGUCCUCACACUAGGUUCAAGACCUUUGUAUUGGCCUAGACGUGCAUCAUCCAUCCUGGAUUGGCCUUUCUUUGGCUCUGUGCAAUGGCUCUUUUGUGUAUAUCUUGUCCUGGAAUCAGACAGAAUCAUUAAGCAAAGUCCCAUAAUUUAUUUAAAUAAUUAGUGGCAUCAUUUUUAUAGUCACAAGCUUUUUAGGGCAUGCAUUAGCAAAUGUAUUUCAAACCUGUAGCACUGAAAAUCAAAAAGUUAAAGAAAAUCUUAAUGCUGGUGACAUGUGCUUCAAAUAUAAAAAGGAGAGAAAAAAUAAUAAAAAAGAAAAGUAUAUUGCACAUGCAAAAACAAUAUAAUAAUAAAAGAGCUUUAAAAAAUUCAAAAAUAUAGCUUAUAAUCAUUAACACUCUGUGUCAGCUAAGAAAAUAUAAAAUGCAAGGCUUUCUCACCAAAAAUGAGAUCCAUUUCCUCUUAAUAUCUGGCCAUGAUCACUGUGAGUAGAAGGCAAAUGAAUUGAAAAAGGUUAACAAUUUUUUCAUUUUUAAAAAUACAGUAGUACAAAUAUGUAGUUAUCAAAAUCCCCAAAAUUCUCAAUAGCCCAAUUAAUUACAAUAGCAAACAAACACACUUUCAUAAUUCACAUAAGUUGCUGUAUGACAUUUUUAAAGCCUAUGAAUUGAUGGACAUUUGUCAAUUUUUACAAACAUAGCAAUCUUUCAACCUUGAUAUUUGAACAUUUUUUUUAAACAAAGUAAACCUCAUCUUGGGUUAAGAACAUAAUCAAGAAAUCUAGAUAUCAUUCUGGUGGAAGUUAAAUAGUGAGCUGAAGAGCAUAAAUGAAGGGGUGCUCCUUUUUUGGAGGCUUUUAGGGAUACAAAUGCCCUGAGAUUAACUGCCCAACUUCCAUUCACAUAUUUAGAAAUGUGGGAAUGUUGGGGGUUAUAAAAUGUAUUUCACUUCAGCUACUAUUGGCCUUUUAUCUCGUGGUAGGGUCAGGCAAAAAUAACCAGAUUGUUAAAAAAAAUUCCAAAAAUCAUAUUUUAAAAACCCUUAAAAUCAUUUGAGAUAUUUAGCAUAUUAAAUUUUCCAAAGGUUGUUAAUACAAUUAUAACCAGUUCUAAAGUCCAUCUAUCCUCGGCAAAAUAGAAAAAAGCUGUUUUUUCAUAUAUGGGCUUAUUCACAAUAAUAUUUGUUCAACAGUUAUAGGGGAAAAACAACAGAAUUUUUAAAACUAAGUACAUUCAAAAUAAAUUCAAUCAACCUUCAGUGUAGCAUGAUAAUCAAUCCAGUAAUAUAUGAAUUUAAAAUCACAAAGUUAUAUCUUAAAACAAUCAGGAAAUGCAAUAGAAAUACAGAGAUUUUUUAUAAACUAUUGGAGUCUGGAAUGCCUUAAAAUCAUAACCUCCAGUCUUUAGGUUCCUUGGGUUCUUAUCCAUUUAAAUGCCUAUUGUCCGAAGGCAGAGUGCUAUGGGCUAGGCAAUGGGUUUCAAGGGACCCAUCCAGGCCCCAUAGCUAGGAAGUAUCUGAGGCCAGAUUUUAACCCAGGACCAUGCUCUCAGUGCCCUGAGCCACCCAUUUGCAAAUUCAAAGUUGAAUCUUUGGGCUGAAUCUUUCUUCUGGCACACAGGUGAAAUCAAUGAAAUUACCAGAACUGUCAAAAGGUAUCCUUUUAAACAGCCCAUUGCUAUUAAGUUUCUGUUUGAAAAAUCUGUUUCUUCUCUCCCCUGCUCUGAUACCUUCUCCCGCCCCAGUCCACGUGGAGCCCAGGCCACCCACGUGGAGUCAAUACCCCCCCCUCCACUUGGAGGCUUAGCCUAAGGGGAAAUUGCCCAUUUCCUUUCCCUCUCCUCUCUCCCUCCGCCCACAUGGCCAAUACUGUUACCAGCUGGUCGAAAUGAGUCCUGAGCGAUCUGCUCCAAGGAUCUGGGUGAUGAGCUCUGUGGGUCGGAGGCCAGAUGGGUGAGAGACAGACCGCUGGGGUGGGCAGGGCAGGGGCCAGAGCCGGGCGCUCGGGCACCAGGUGAGAGGCCAGAAGCAGAAGCAGGAGAAGCAGGCAGGCAGAAUUUAGCAGCCAGGGGCCAGGUGGGCGGCAAACACAACAGGUCUGGAUCAGGGCUGAACACCCGCAGGCAAAAGUGGCUGAGCUUUCUAAUGGCUGGAACUGAAGGAGCAGCAGCUUUGCAAGGGUAAAAAACAAAAACUUGGCCAGAGAGAUGUGGCUCAAAUUAAAAGCUGAACUAAAGAUCAGAAAGAAAUCAGAAGAUUGAGAGUUUUUUUUCCCCCAUUAGGUCGCCAAACUGUAAAGAUUAAAAUUUAGGAAUAUGGGGAGACUGAGGCAGGUAGAAAUUAGUUUCUCUCUGUAAGGAGUAUUAUAUUUUUUAGAGGUUUGUUAAAGAUUAAAGAAAAUACAGAGGAAGAAAAAACAUGUGCCUAGGCCAGAGGCCUAGGCCAGAUAACCUCACAUCACAGAAGAGAUGCAUCUGCUCCAAAACGGAAGUCCAAAAGAGCCAUAAAAUUCUUUGCCACCAGUUUAAAUCCUUCCUCGAUCUUGGCCCACCUCAGAAUUCCCGUGAGAUUACAAAGCAUUUUGGGGAAGUGGAGCAAAGGCUUGUGGGAAUUGUAGUCCUGUAUUUGAGUAUUUUUUUACACUACAAAGAAUUUAAGCCACUAAAGAUCAGUUAAAAUCUUGUGUUAUAUGAUGUAAGUCUGAAGAUUGGGUAAAUAAGAAAAAUGGUUGUAGUAUGUGUAGUAUUGAAAUUUCUUCCAAGAUAUUCUGUAUGACACAUGUACCAGUGAAUUCUACUCCUAAAAUAAAAUUUUCUUGUAACUACCA